AUUGAACGCUGGCGGCAGGCUUAACACAUGCAAGUCGAGCGGAGAUGAGGUGCUUGCACCUUAUCUUAGCGGCGGACGGGUGAGUAAUGCUUAGGAAUCUGCCUAUUAGUGGGGGACAACAUUCCGAAAGGAAUGCUAAUACCGCAUACGCCCUACGGGGGAAAGCAGGGGAUCUUCGGACCUUGCGCUAAUAGAUGAGCCUAAGUCGGAUUAGCUAGUUGGUGGGGUAAAGGCCUACCAAGGCGACGAUCUGUAGCGGGUCUGAGAGGAUGAGCCGCCACACUGGGACUGAAACACGGCCCAGACGCCUACGGGAGGCAGCAGUGGGGAAUAUUGGACAAUGGGCGGAAGCCUGAUCCAGCCAUGCCGCGUGUGUGAAGAAGGCCUUUUGGUUGUAAAGCACUUUAAGCGAGGAGGAGGCUACCUGGAUUAAUACUCUAGGAUAGUGGACGUUACUCGCAGAAUAAGCACCGGCUAACUCUGUGCCAGCAGCCGCAGUAACAC
rnacentral:rRNA from 1 species